ACGAGCGCAUACAUACGUACGCGCGCACAACACGGCGGGCGCUCGAUAUCACUCUCACACGCACGCGUAGCACACGGGGAGGGACGACGAUACGGGAGGAUCAAUCAGCCGAAGAAGUGGUGCUUCUUCUCGCCGCCGGCCUCCUCGGCCUCCUUGUGGUCCUUCUUCUUCUCGUGGUGCUCGUGGAAGGCGAAGCCGCCGGAGCCGACGGCCGCCGCCGCCGCGACCUCCUCCUCGAUCUUGUGGCGGUGCGCGUGCUCCGGGUCCUUCUUCGCCUCGUGCUUCUCGUACUGUGCAUGUCCACGUCACACGAGGUGACCGUCAUUCAGUUCGUUCGAUUAAUAUAUAUAUUAUUCUUUCUCGUUCAUGUAUGUAUAUAUAUAUACUACUCAAGGAGGAUCGGAUCGGACGGACUACGUACGAGUGCGAAGGCGCCGGCGGCGAUGGCGCCGGCCUCGCCGAGGUGCUGCUUGUGCUUGUGCUCCUUCUCCUCCUUCUUGUACUCGUCGUACUCGUUCUCGCCCGUGGACACCACCUCCGUCACCGUGGCCUCCGUGUACUCGGCGGACUCGCCGUACCCGCCGGCGGCGAGCUGCUCCUCGUCCUUCUUGUGGUGGAACAGGUGGUGGUGGUGGUGCUUCUCCUCCGCCAUGGAUAAUGAAACGAGCUAGAAGAGGGAUGACCGGCCUUAAUUAGCUUGUUGGAGGGAGAGCAAGUGACAA
rnacentral:lncRNA from 1 species